rnacentral:rRNA from 1 species
ACUCCUACGGGAGGCAGCAGUGGGGAAUAUUGCACAAUGGGCGCAAGCCUGAUGCAGCCAUGCCGCGUGUGUGAGAAGGCAGCUUCGGGUUGUAAAGCACUUUCAGUCGUGAGGAAGGUAGUGUAGUUAAUAGCUGCAUUAUUUGACGUUAGCGACAGAAGAAGCACCGGCUAACUCCGUGCCAGCAGCCGCGGUAAUACGGAGGGUGCGAGCGUUAAUCGGAAUUACUGGGCGUAAAGCGCAUGCAGGUGGUUUGUUAAGUCAGAUGUGAAAGCCCGGGGCUCAACCUCGGAAUUGCAUUUGAAACUGGCAGACUAGAGUACUGUAGAGGGGGGUAGAAUUUCAGGUGUAGCGGUGAAAUGCGUAGAGAUCUGAAGGAAUACCGGUGGCGAAGGCGGCCCCCUGGACAGAUACUGACACUCAGAUGCGAAAGCGUGGGAGCAAACAGGAUUAGAUACCCUGGUAGGUGA